rnacentral:rRNA from 1 species
GACGAACGCUGGCGGCGUGCCUAAUACAUGCAAGUCGAGCGCAGGAAACUGACGGAACUCUUCGGAGGGAAGGCAGCGGAAUGAGCGGCGGACGGGUGAGUAACACGUAAGGAACCUGCCUCAAGGAUUGGGAUAACUCCGAGAAAUCGGAGCUAAUACCGGAUAGUUCAUCGGACCGCAUGGUCCGUUGAUGAAAGGCGCUCCGGCGUCACCUUGAGAUGGCCUUGCGGUGCAUUAGCUAGUUGGUGGGGUAACGGCCCACCAAGGCGACGUGACAUAGCCGACCUGAGAGGGUGAUCGGCCACACUGGGACUGAGACACGGCCCAGACUCCUACGGGAGGCAGCAGUAGGGAAUCUUCCACAAUGGACGAAAGUCUGAUGGAGCAACGCCGCGUGAGUGAUGAAGGUUUUCGGAUCGUAAAACUCUGUUGUAAGGGAAGAACACGUACGAGAGGAAAUGCUCGUACCUUGACGGUACCUUACGAGAAAGCCACGGCUAACUACGUGCCAGCAGCCGCAGUAA